CUACGCACUCCUACGGGAGGCAGCAGUGGGGAAUAUUGCACAAUGGGCGCAAGCCUGAUGCAGCCAUGCCGCGUGUAUGAAGAAGGCCUUCGGGUUGUAAAGUACUUUCAGCAGUGAGGAAGGUGGGUAUGUUAAUAGCAUAUUCAUUUGACGUUAGCUGCAGAAGAAGCACCGGCUAACUCCGUGCCAGCAGCCGCGGUAAUACGGAGGGUGCGAGCGUUAAUCGGAAUUACUGGGCGUAAAGCGCAUGCAGGUGGUUUGUUAAGUCAGAUGUGAAAGCCCGGGGCUCAACCUCGGAAUUGCAUUUGAAACUGGCAAACUAGAGUACUGUAGAGGGGGGUAGAAUUUCAGGUGUAGCGGUGAAAUGCGUAGAGAUCUGAAGGAAUACCGGUGGCGAAGGCGGCCCCCUGGACAGAUACUGACACUCAGAUGCGAAAGCGUGGGGAGCAAACAGGAUUAGAUACCCCGGUAG
rnacentral:rRNA from 1 species